rnacentral:rRNA from 1 species
UACGAAGGGUGCAAGCGUUACUCGGAAUUACUGGGCGUAAAGCGUGCGUAGGCGGUUCGUUAAGUCUGUCGUGAAAGCCCUGGGCUCAACCUGGGAAUUGCGAUGGAUACUGGCGAGCUAGAGUGCGGUAGAGGAUGGUGGAAUUCCCGGUGUAGCGGUGAAAUGCGUAGAGAUCGGGAGGAACACCCGUGGCGAAGGCGGCCAUCUGGACCAGCACUGACGCUGAGGCACGAAAGCGUGGGGAGCAAACAGG